rnacentral:rRNA from 1 species
CCUACGGGAUGCAGCAGUGAGGAAUAUUGGUCAAUGGACGAGAGUCUGAACCAGCCAAGUAGCGUGAAGGAUGACUGCCCUAUGGGUUGUAAACUUCUUUUAUAUGGGAAUAAAAUGUUCCACGUGUGGGAUUUUGUAUGUACCAUAUGAAUAAGGAUCGGCUAACUCCGUGCCAGCAGCCGCGGUAAUACGGAGGAUCCGAGCGUUAUCCGGAUUUAUUGGGUUUAAAGGGAGCGUAGGUGGAUUGUUAAGUCAGUUGUGAAAGUUUGCGGCUCAACCGUAAAAUUGCAGUUGAAACUGGCAGUCUAGAGUACAGUAGAGGUGGGCGGAAUACGUGGUGUAGCGGUGAAAUGCUUAGAUAUCACGAAGAACUCCGAUUGCGAAGGCAGCUCACUGGACUGCAACUGACACUGAGGCUCGAAAGUGUGGGUAUCAAACAGGAUUAGAUACCCCGGUAGUC